AGCAGCCGCGGUAAUUCCAGCUCCAAUAGCGUAUAUUAAAGUUGUUGCAGUUAAAAAGCUCGUAGUUGAAUUUCGGGAUCAAAGGAUCGGUCAUGCCUUGGUAUGUACUGGUUUUAUUGGUUCUCACCUUCUAAAGAACCAUAAUGUCAUUCAUUUGAUGUUAUGGGGAAUUAGGACUGUUACCUUGAAAAAAUUAGAGUGUUUAAAGCAGGCUUACGCUUGAAUACAUUAGCAUGGAAUAAUGAAAUAGGACAUCAGAUUCUAUUUUGUUGGUUUCUAGGAUCGAUGUAAUGAUUAAUAGGGAUAGUUGGGGGCAUUAGUAUUCAAUUGUCAGAGGUGAAAUUCUUGGAUUUAUUGAAGACUAACUACUGCGAAAGCAUUUGCCAAGGAUGUUUUCAUUAAUCAA
rnacentral:rRNA from 1 species